UAAUCAUAAAGACAUUGAUGCCAUUCACAGCAAAAGUGAGAUAGAAAACUCUAUUGAAUAAAGCACUUUAACAACUUAAAUGGCCAUAAGUUUUUAAGUGCAAUGAUUUCAUCAUAUAUUAAGGUGAUGAUGUGAAACCAAGAAAUACAUGGAACUCUUCAGUUCAUAAAAGGGGCUGUUAAGAAGACAAGCUGCGAUGGAAGAUUGAAUGGAAAUUCAUGACAUCAGAAUGCUAUCUGAAGACUUGACCUUUCACUGCAGAGAGAGGUUGGACAAAUGAAUAAGAUCUUCUACCCUUUCCUGCCUACUCUGUGGGCUGAUAUAAACUCACUUGGACAGCCAACCCAAUUCAAGACAGACAAUAAUCCUGAGGCAAGAUGUCUAUUUGAUGGGCAAUUACCAGCUCUUUUACUUUUGAAUAGUAAAAAAGCUCAGGCCAUUGUUAGAAAAAAGGAAAACAAUAACAGUAUUUUUCGGCAGUGAAAAAGGAUGAAACAGAAAAAGCAGAAGAUAAUGAAGCACUAAAUAUAAUGGACCAUAACCAGCUACCAGUUCAUCGCAAUGACAACUGAACCAGCACCAAACUGUAAACUACCUCCCCAACUCAAUCUGACUAAAUUUAUUACAGCAAAAACCCUUUCUGCUACCACUGGCAGUUAGGGUUUCACAGGUGCAAGCCAGGAGCUCCAAAACUUUAGUAAGACAGACUGCCAGUAAAACGUACCAAGGACACACCUGAAGGACUGUCUGGGGACGUGCUGACCUCAUGGGUGCUAAGGAAUUAUGACCUUUGAUUACAAAUACACAUAAAAGAACAGAGUGAUCUUGGAAGGGCAAUUUUCAGUGGCAAAAAAGGAGACAAUUGCAUUGUUCCUGCUUAAGAAAGGAGGGGGGAGGUCUAGGCUUUAGGCAGAGUUUAAAGUAUCUGUUGUAAAAGACUGAAAAUCUUUGUGCUCUCUGUAUUGCCUAUCAAUAGCUGAUUAAAAUGUUGCUUUGAUUAGAUUAAGAACUAGAAGAAGACUGAGCAUUCACCUUUUCAGGAAAUCCCAUGUCAGUACAUAGAAGGUGCUGGUACUCCUGUGUCCAUUUCAAUAGGUUUUGGCAGGAACUUCAUUUUGUCCUAUCUUGUUCAGAUCCUUACUAGCUCAUCUUUCCAGACACAAUGUUGCCUUUUCAGUCAAGGCACUUGUGAGAAGGCACAAAAAAUGGCACCAAGUACUCUCAGUCAAGAUUACUCUUUUGGGAGGGGUGUCCUGCCUAGAGUCUGAGUGACGAGAUGAGACUGGAAUUAAUUCUUGUUUUAUUAGAGUAACGGUUACAUUGAAAGCAGUGCGCUUCACAGACCAACUACUUGUUGGAGUAGUUUGCGAUCAACCGGUGGUAGUAACUGGCAACCCCCAGGAAAUGCUGUAAUUCUUUCUUGGUACGAUGAGGUUGCCAUGUGAGAAUGCAGUGAACCUUGCCCGGAUCCAUCUCUACCCCACCUGGUGAGAUGCGGUACCUCAAAAAGUCCAACGUGGUCAUGUCAAACCCGCACUUCUCCAACUUGGCAUAGAGGUGAUGUUCCUGGAGGCACCACAACACAGCCUUCACAUGUUCUUUGUGUUCCUCGGGGGAGUCGGAAUA